rnacentral:rRNA from 1 species
GAUGAACGCUGGCGGCGUGCCUAAUACAUGCAAGUCGAGCGAACAGAUGAGGAGCUUGCUCCUCUGACGUUAGCGGCGGACGGGUGAGUAACACGUGGAUAACCUACCUAUAAGACUGGGAUAACUUCGGGAAACCGGAGCUAAUACCGGAUAAUAUAUUGAACCGCAUGGUUCAAUAGUGAAAGACGGUUUUGCUGUCACUUAUAGAUGGAUCCGCGCCGCAUUAGCUAGUUGGUAAGUUAACGGCUUACCAAGGCAACGAUGCGUAGCCGACCUGAGAGGGUGAUCGGCCACACUGGAAGUGAGACACGGUCCAGACUCCUACGGGAGGCAGCAGUAGGGAAUCUUCCGCAAUGGGCGAAAGCCUGACGGAGCAACGCCGCGUGAGUUAUGAAGGUCUUCGGAUCGUAAAACUCUGUUAUUAGGUAAGAACAAAUGUGUAAGGAACUAUGCACGUCUUGACGGUACCUAAUCAGAAAGCCACGGCUAACUACGUG